CUGGAACCUUAGGCAGCAGAGGAGGCAUGUCAGGAACAAGCAUGAAAGCUGGAGAUGAGACAGCUCAGAUAUCAAGGAAUAUAUGAGGAUGCCAUCAAGAGCAGCAGAAAAUUCAACACCUCGUUUUUUGGACAGAGACAGCCUCUUGGAUUUAUUCACUCAUUUGAUUAUCAAUUUCUGUGAAAUGUCAUGUUUACUAUUGAAAGAAAAG
rnacentral:lncRNA from 1 species